GAUGAACGCUAGCGGCAGGCUUGAUACAUGCAAGGCGAGGGGGCAGCAAUGUCACCGUCGUACGGGUGCGUAACGCGUAUGCAACCUACCUUCAACUGGGGGAUAGCCCGGGGAAACCCGGAUUAAUACCCCAUGGUAUAUUUGAGUGGCAUCACUCGACUAUUAAAGUUCCAACGGUUCAAGAUGGGCAUGCGUCCCAU
rnacentral:rRNA from 1 species